UACGUAGGGUGCAAGCGUUGUCCGGAAUUAUUGGGCGUAAAGAGCUUGUAGGCGGUUUGUCGCGUCUGCUGUGAAAUUUCGGGGCUCAACCCCGAACUUGCAGUGGGUACGGGCAGACUAGAGUGUGGUAGGGGAGACUGGAAUUCCUGGUGUAGCGGUGAAAUGCGCAGAUAUCAGGAGGAACACCAGUGGCGAAGGCGAGUCCCUGGACAACACCUGACACUGAGGCACGAAAGCUAGGGGAGCAAACGGG
rnacentral:rRNA from 1 species